GCCCGGAGCAGGUCCCGCUGCGGCUGCUCCACUGCCCCGCGCGGACGGCGCUCCGCGGGCGGCGACGCUCGGCCGCUUCCCCACGCCGCAGCCACCUGUCGUCUCAGAUCCGUCAUCCAGAACAAAGUUAAACCGAAAUUCAUUUAAAUUCAGUUUAUUAAGUUAUCGCUAUGUCGGGGGGAAAAAUAAAGUGAAAGUACUUUCCAGGGCAAAAUGAGCAUCGUGUGGGGGCCCAAGGGGGGGCUGCCGGUAUCCCAGUGCUCACGCCUUGCUCUGAACCACGCAAAGCAGCCGGCAGGAUGUGGAGCCUUGAGUUAAAGAUUUCUUUGGGGCAAUCGCAAAUAGUGAUAAACAGGACGCAAACUUCUGUGGGAAGAAGCAAAGCCCAAUCCCGCAUGGAAAUGUUGCACUGGUGAUUAUAAUGUCAAUUCUACGAAUUUUAUGCUAAACACUUUUUGUCGCGCUACUUUUCCCUUAGCGAUGUAGACGCCUGAGCGACGCGCCCGAGCUGCGGCCGCAUCCCCGCGGCUGCAGUGGCCCCUGGUGGGUGCGGCGGGAAGGCGCGGGCGGCACAGGGCCGCGGGACGUGGGGCGGGACAGCCACCUGCGGUGCUCACGCUACCCACCCUCGGCGGCAAACACCGGUGCCAACCUACAGAGAUCCCGCGUGCAAGAGCUUGACGUAGGAAGAAGACCAGGGUGGUGAACGAUCAGCAGCCCAAGGGGUGAAACGAGUCAUCAUGCCUGUUCCCAGAUCGCUCUGUAUGGAGACAGGGGUCGCUGUUAGAUCAGAGGUCAGAAUUGAGGGGAUCUCUUUCUGCUGCUGCUUCAAUGGGUCCAGAAGAGCCAGAGAAGGCAACAGUGAAACAGAACGUUUGGUAAAGGCAACUCAAGAAGAAAUCACACUGACAUCACCAUGAUGAGCGACGUCCAUAAAAAAGGCAGUGAGAACAAACCAGAGAAGGACAGGAUGAUCCAGCACUUCUAGGCUUUGGCAAAAGAAGAUACAGGCUAUAUCUGUCUUUAUGGAUGAAGGAGAGGGGUGAACACAUGAUGAUGAGGAGGAGGACAAGGAGGAGAAGAGCUGCUGGGGAGUAGGAGCCAUUUUUGGGACAGCCUGGGAGGAAGAGGAGAGUGCUCGAGGUCCUUGCAGCCAAGGAGUGAGGUGAAGCAGUGGGAGCCUGUGAGGCUGGUCCUGGCUCCCAGGGAAUUUGAGGAGUGAUGCUUGUGAGGGAUGCAGUCCCAGAGGUAUGAUGGUAGAAUAACAGCAAUGUACAGGAGAAGCAGCCUGGAGGAAAGAACUACUUUUUUUUUUUUUUUCCUGAAACUUUGAAAUCGUAGCCAAGUGAUAAAAAGGAUUGAUUGUACAUGUAAAAUCCUUUAGACAUAAAUCAUUGACUAAUUUUGAGAACCAGUUUGGAUCCAGCCACCCCUAAACUUCCCUCAAAAUAGGAGUUUAGAAUGUAAG
ensembl:lncRNA